rfam:Sphingomonas sp. JJ-A5, complete genome.
CCUGCGGACCGGGCCCCUCUGGCGGCGGCUGCAAAGCCUCCGCGAUGUCGGACCGCAUCG